rnacentral:rRNA from 1 species
AGCGAACGCUGGCGGCAGGCCUAACACAUGCAAGUCGAACGAAGUCUUCGGACUUAGUGGCGGACGGGUGAGUAACACGUGGGAACGUGCCUUUAGGUUCGGAAUAACUCAGGGAAACUUGUGCUAAUACCGAAUGUGCCCUUCGGGGGAAAGAUUUAUCGCCUUUAGAGCGGCCCGCGUCUGAUUAGCUAGUUGGUGGGGUAAUGGCCCACCAAGGCUACGUUCAGUAGCUGGUCUGAGAGGAUGACCAGCCACAUUGGGACUGAGACACGGCCCAAACUCCUACGGGAGGCAGCAAUGAGGAAUCUUGCGCAAUGGGCGAAAGCCUGACGCAGCCAUGCCGCGUGGAUGAUGAAGGUCUUAGGAUUGUAAAAUCCUUUCACCGGUGAAGAUAAUGACUGUAGCCGGAGAAGAAGCCCCGGCUAACUUCGUGCCAGCCGCCGCAGUAAAAC